rnacentral:rRNA from 1 species
UAAACAUUGAUAUCUUUUUACACCCAUUAUCCGCCCGGGUACUACGAGCAUUAGCUUAAAACCCAAAGGACUUGGCGGUGCUUUAGACCCCCCUAGAGGAGCCUGUUCUAGAACCGAUAAUCCCCGUUCAACCUCACCCCCUCUUGUUUAUUCCGCCUAUAUACCGCCGUCGUCAGCCCACCCUGUGAAGGUCCAAUAGUGAGCAAAAAUGGCAAAGCCCCAAACGUCAGGUCGAGGUGUAGCAUAUGAGGGGGGAAGAAAUGGGCUACAUUCUCUAAACAACAGAGCAUACGGUUAAUAUAUUGAAAUAUAUAUUUUAAGGAGGAUUUAGUAGUAAGUAGGAAGUAGAGUGUCCUGCUGAACCCGGCUCUAAAGCGUGC